CCUGAGUGGAAGGGGUCUAUAUAAAGAUCCUGGUGGCUUGUUAUGUUGGUAGAUUUCCCUGCAGCAGCAUCUGUGCUUCAUAACAUGCAGGAAGAAGUUAACUUACUCAACAAGGAUUGCUGACUCCAAGGAUUUUAAAAGGUUGCAUGCAAUAAAGGUUCCAGAAGGGGGUUUUGGACUUUCCAAAUAUUGUACACCUAUACUGAGACCAUGAGCAGUGUGAACUCUGCUGCUUGUCUGCUGGCAAAGAAUCACUUUUACCAGAAUAUCAGUCCUACCAACAAAAUACAGCCUGUGUACAGUUUCCCUGGAAGUCUGUCACAAGCAAGACAAAGGCAAGUGACUGUCUGGAAAACUGCCUCCUUGCAUCAAGGUUUGCCAGGACAGGAGCCCAGACCAUGGGUAUUAAGUUUGGUUUGGAAACGUCCAUUAUCCAACCCGGCCUCAUCCAAAAGGCUAGGUUCUGCUGACCGUGUGAUCAAAUAGACAUCUGAACUACACCUUGUCAAAAGACACGUAACAUUCCCUGAGCCACAGCAUAUUCUUUCCCUUUUGAAACUCCUAACCCACUAGAGAUUGGGUUUAAAGACUUGAUCCAGCUGAUCUAGACCCCAUGAAUAGUUUCCUAGCAGUUCUACCUGAAAAUAUUAAACUAUUUCAUUUGUCCAGGAAGAUUCAAGAAAGAAAGGACCUGCAGUUGUUUUGUGGCAUGAUGCAUUCCCCUAAUUGCUUCUCAUUUUUCCCCAAAGAGCGAAAGAGCAUCUCUUGUGUUCUCCUUAACCCUUACUGUAGGGAGUGUGUGUCCUCAUUCCACAGCGCCCAAUCAGAGCUUUACCUGGUCUCCCCAGCACAGACUUGUUGCCAAGCACAGGGGAAGAGAGACUGAAUGAAAAGGAUAGUGUCAGCGCACUAGACAAAGCCUUUUCCAUGAACACAACCAUCAGGGCUCAGUGACCCGAAAAUAUGCAAACACAUGAGGGGAAAAAGCAUGCACUUUAUGAGAGCCGUGUUCAAAAUCUUUAAAUGGAUAAAUGGUGAGGUCAGGUUCUAUUUUCUCAAGCACAUUAGAUCAGCACAUUCUGUCAUGCAAAUCUUUUAUAAAAGCAGAGUCUUCUUUUUGUAUUUUUCUGCUCAAAUGUGAAAUGAAAAGCUCAGUCCUUUUCCCAUCUUAAUUAUAUCACACAGUCUGGAUCAGCAUUAGUGGGCUUCCCUCUCACUCAAAUGAAUGUCUCUAGACUUGUUUACUUUUCCAAAAGCUUCAUGCUGUUUUUCCAAAGUGUGCAAUGUGAUUCAAAAGGAAGUUUGCACAACGGAAUGUACACAGAAGACCCACUCAACCUGAAUUAACAUGCCAGUUACACAACAGCUCCAGAUCAGCUCUAAAAGCAUGGCAGGAAUAAGGGAUGGCUGUAUCCUUUUUCCUUAGAUACUCUGAAUAAACACAUUGAUAGAGGUCAUUACUCUGGAAUAAGAUGUGAAAAGCUGUGUUAACAAGCCAAAAAUAGGCUUACACUGAAGGAAUAAACCAGCAAUGAAAAUGA